GCCGGUGUAGCUCAGGGGUAGAGCAUCGCUUUCGUAAAGCGAGUGUCGUCAGUUCGAAUCUGACCUCCGGCU
rnacentral:tRNA from 1 species